rnacentral:rRNA from 1 species
CUGAAAGCCUGGUGCUUGCACCGGGUGGAUGAGUGGCGAACGGGUGAGUAACACGUGAGUAACCUGCCCCUGACUUCGGGAUAAGCCCGGGAAACUGGGUCUAAUACCGGAUACGACUGCCGGACGCAUGUCUGGUGGUGGAAAGUUUUUUCGGUUGGGGAUGGGCUCGCGGCCUAUCAGUUUGUUGGUGAGGUAAUGGCUCACCAAGACGACGACGGGUAGCCGGCCUGAGAGGGCGACCGGCCACACUGGGACUGAGACACGGCCCAGACUCCUACGGGAGGCAGCAGUGGGGAAUAUUGCACAAUGGGGGAAACCCUGAUGCAGCGACGCAGCGUGCGGGAUGACGGCCUUCGGGUUGUAAACCGCUUUCAGCAGGGAAGAAGCGCAAGUGACGGUACCUGCAGAAGAAGUACCGGCUAACUACGUGCCAGCAGCCGCGGUAAUACGUAGGGUACGAGCGUUGUCCGGAAUUAUUGGGCGUAAAGAGCUCGUAGGUGGUUGGUCACGUCUGCUGUGGAAACGCAACGCUUAACGUUGCGCGUGCAGUGGGUACGGGCUGACUAGAGUGCAGUAGGGGAGUCUGGAAUUCCUGGUGUAGCGGUGAAAUGCGCAGAUAUCAGGAGGAACACCGGUGGCGAAGGCGGGACUCUGGGCUGUAACUGACACUGAGGAGCGAAAGCAUGGGGAGCGAACAGGAUUAGAUACCCUGGUAGUCCAUGCCGUAAACGUUGGGCACUAGGUGUGGGGGGCAUUCCACGUUCUCCGCGCCGUAGCUAACGCAUUAAGUGCCCCGCCUGGGGAGUACGGUCGCAAGGCUAAAACUCAAAGGAAUUGACGGGGGCCCGCACAAGCGGCGGAGCAUGCGGAUUAAUUCGAUGCAACGCGAAGAACCUUACCAAGGCUUGACAUACACCGGACCGUCCUGGAAACAGGUCCUCUUCUUUGAAGCUGGUGUAC